rnacentral:rRNA from 1 species
GAUGAACGCUGGCGGUGUGCCUAAUACAUGCAAGUCGUACGCAUUCUCGUUUCUGAUUGACGGUGCUUGCACCUAAUUGACGAGACAUUGGAAUGAGUGGCGGACGGGUGAGUAACACGUGGGUAACCUGCCCAGAAGCGGGGGUAACAUUUGGAAACAGAUGCUAAUACCGCAUAAAAGUCAAAACCACAUGGUUUUGAUUUAAAAGAUGGCCUUUGUGCUAUCACUUCUGGAUGGACCCGCGGCGUAUUAGCUAGUUGGUAAGGUAACGGCGUACCAAGGCAAGGAUACGUAGCCGAACUGGGAGGUUGAUCGGCCACAAUGGGACUGAGACACGGCCCAUACUCCUACGGGAGGCAGCAGUAGGGAAUCUUCCACAAUGGGCGCAAGCCUGAUGGAGCAACACCGCGUGAGUGAAGAAGGGUUUCGGCUCGUAAAACUCUGUUGUUAAAGAAGAACGUAUCUAAGAGUAACUGCUUAGGUAGUGACGGUAUUUAACCAGAAAGCCACGGCUAACUACGUGCCAGCCGCCGCCGUAA